CUUGACUUCAAAAGUAUUCACACAAAUAUAUAAGAUGCAUCUACAUCUGAGUUCAAUACUUGAUUUGGUUCGGUGAGAACGUAGUCGUAUCUGGAUUGUUCAAUCUCCUACAUAAAAAUGCGCAAAUGUGUGCAUGUAUGUGUAGUAAUGUACGAGUAUGUGCAAUAUCUCAUAUCAGUGCAAGCUGCUCAAUUAGCCAGUACAAUGAUUUUUUUAAUAGCAAAAUGAAUAAAUUUAAAUAAAUAACAAGAGGGAAAACAAGAAAUGUUUAUAUGUAAUAAAAGUUAAAUUGUAGCUUGAAUUCAGAUUCUCGUGAGAAAAGUGUUUGAAAAACGGUAGGAGGACAAGUUUGUGACAGUGGCGAAUAUCAUGAGAGAGCCUUAACCUGAGUAUCGGUUAGCAAAAAGCUGGUGGGAUCGUGUGGGCUUGCGUUAUUAUUCAAUUAUAGAAGGUUAGUAAGCAGCUUUCUCGCUCCCUCUUGACAAAUCGGCUUCCUUAUUUGAUAACGUGUUGCUUCUUUAUAAAAAAACGUACAUGUUUCACGAAAAAAAACUUUUGAAUUGUAGUAAAAACUAAACUUUUGGUGCAAAUUAUAUGGUCGGCAACACUGUUUCCAUUUUGACACGUUGCUUUAUUCAUAUUCGUUGAAAACCGUUUAUUUAAUUCGAAACAUUCUAAUCGAUCAUGUCCUGAUUCUGGUUAUAGUCGGUCAUUUGAAGCUGUCUUUCUGCUACAGGCAGCACUCGUUUGUCACCAUGCAUAUGCCACAGUUAAUAAAUUAUGUUCUUCUUCUUCUUAAUUGGCGCUAUAACCGCUUACGCACAUCCUCUGGAUAGCUUCCGAACACCCGUUCGGGAGUGAGCUAACGUGAGAAGGCGAAACAUUCCAGGAUAGCUGGUUGUGCGCUGGGUUUGGGACCCGCCACUUAAAAAUCCCCCCCAAUGAAAAGAUUAAAAAAGCCUCGGAUUAGAGUUCAGAGGCGCGCAAGUGCAGCGGGAGGUGUGUUGAAGAGCUAAGUGGUACAACUGUAGUGAGUUUUAGAAACGAAGGCAAGAAUGCGUGUGCUUCUACCGUUGUCAUAUGUGGUCCUUCGGAGAACCGUAAUUGAAUUGUCUUCGCUAAACUUUUUUGCAACACGAGAAGUAUGUUGCGGUUCAUUAUCUUGUCGCAAUUUCCAAAUCACAUUUUGACGCAUCUGAACAGACUUGGCAUCUGAACAGACUUGGCCGCAUCUAUAGUAUCUUCAACACGAUGAAUUCGUCCGUCACUGUUCCACUAAAAGCAGUCCCACACCAUUUUGGAGCCUGGUGCCUCGUGCCUUAUGAUUGGUGGUACGCACUUGGGGUCGAAUGCUCACGUUUUGGCUGCCGCACGAACUUCCUAUCAUCUGCACCAAACCUAUUUAUAUUCGUUUAAUUGCUGAAUAAAAUAUAACGCCACUAUUUUGGCAAUCUCACGAUCAUACCAUCAAUCUGGCUAGUAAAGACAUAUUUGCAUCAAGUGAGGGGCUUCUAAUAAAUAUUGCCCUACAUUUUCUACACAGCAUAAAAGAAGAGCUUGAGUUUUUUAGCUGCAUGAGAACUAUUGAUAUCGAUUACCAUGGUUUGACAGCUGAGAAUGGCCAACUGUGUUGACAUUUCUGUUCAGUAAGGCUUGGCAAGUCAUCGUGAAUUUAACGCCAGA